rnacentral:rRNA from 1 species
GACGAACGCUGGCGGCGUGCCUAAUACAUGCAAGUCGAGCGGACGAAUCGAAAGCUUGCUUUUGAUUCGUUAGCGGCGGACGGGUGAGUAACACGUGGGCAACCUGCCCUGUAGACGGGGAUAACACCGAGAAAUCGGUGCUAAUACCGGAUAACACGAAAUGUCGCAUGACGUUUCGUUGAAAGACGGCGCAAGCUGUCGCUACAGGAUGGGCCCGCGGCGCAUUAGCUAGUUGGUGAGGUAACGGCUCACCAAGGCGACGAUGCGUAGCCGACCUGAGAGGGUGAUCGGCCACACUGGGACUGAGACACGGCCCAGACUCCUACGGGAGGCAGCAGUAGGGAAUCUUCCGCAAUGGACGAAAGUCUGACGGAGCAACGCCGCGUGAGCGAAGAAGGCCUUCGGGUCGUAAAGCUCUGUUGUUAGGGAAGAACAAGUAACGCAGUAACUGGCGUUACCGUGACGGUACCUAACGAGAAAGCCACGGCUAACUACGUGCCAGCCGCCGCCGUAACAC